UUUUUAUGAGAGUUUGAUCCUGGCUCAGGACGAACGCUGGCGGCGUGCCUAAUACAUGCAAGUCGAACGCUUCUUUUUCCACCGGAGCUUGCUCCACCGGAAAAAGAAGAGUGG
rnacentral:rRNA from 1 species